AUGCAUUCUGAAAAGAGUCAUUUAAACUGCAAUCCCUCUAAGUUUCAAAACUAUCACCCCCUUUUCCAAGUCUACAUGAAAAGCAACAGUAAAAUGAGCAAAAACGGACCAUUACCCAACCUCCGCUUAGAAAGGAAAGAGCCACAGGGAUCAAAGCAGGUGACACACUCCUCCCAAUUCGGAAUAAGGCAAAGCUGGAAACCGGAUCUCCUCGCCUCCAACAGAAAAGCAGGGCUCUUCCCCUUCGCCCGGGGUUUGGAACCAGAGACGGCAGAGGGAAGUGGCGAGCGUUAUUUCCGGACGCUGGCCGGCGUUCCCCCACCCCUCGGGUAAGGAUGGUCGAGGACACGUCGGCCUUUUCCGUGGUGUCGCAGGAGGUGCAGGCGCCUUGUGGCGAGGCCUCCCCCGCACCGGCCGCCAAAGUUCUUUGAGCCGGGGGUGAACAGUCGUGGUUGCGCUUUCGGCCCAGUCUGGCCACCAGGUGGCGCCCGCCUGGCGCUGGGCUGCGGCUGCUUUCUCCCCGAGCUCUCGACCUCGGCAGGCAAGAUUGCCUUACAAAAUGUGCAUUAGGCCGGGUGGUUCAGAAAGAGUAAAAACACUUUUAUAAUGUAAUCGCCACAAAAGGUAGUUUUCCAUAUCCUUUCCUCGGACCGCAGAGUGAGUUCGUUUAGAACGCGAGAUGACGUACUUAGGUUAAGAACUCAAGAACCCUCGUUUUUAACAAGAACAAAGUUCUGGGGACCAAAGCCAGGUUGUGCUUCUUCCGAGACAGUUGUGCCUAUGCUGUUCUACCAGCUCUGCAGGAGCUUUGAGGAGACACGUGGUCAGGGAUCAAAGUAUAAAAUGGAAUUUACGUUAGGAUUUUCCGACUUGUUAGAGCACCUUACAUUUUUAUUGCGUCAAUAAAGAAGAAUCUAAGAAUUCCUAUUCAUCUUCCGUGAGCUAAAAGGAAUUCACUGCCAUCUAGUUCCCCUCUUUCCCCCCUACCAUCCAGCACACUGGUGGGGAAAACAUUUAACCUAUGAUUGAUGCACAAGGUAAAAACAAAUCUGUUGGAUGCUUUCUUAUUUACGUUUACUUUCAUUUAGUGUAAGGGGCUAUUGUGUUGUGCCACAAAAGGUUUAUUUAGUGAGUUAUAAUCCAAAAGAGGAGUUAAAUUUGCAUGCAUGCGCACAAUUUGGUGUGUAGUCCCCCCAAAUUGAUUCUCAUGUGACGGGCUAAAAUUUUGUAAGAUAUACUUACGAAUAAUGAU
rnacentral:lncRNA from 1 species